AUGCGUCCCUAUGACUUAUUUGCUUCUACCUUGCAUUGCAUGAUGCCAUCUGUUAAAGUAGAUUUGAAAAAGUAUUUGCUUGGAUAUGAUCAUAUAUACCCUGUUAGUGGCAUUACUCACAUUAAUGAUGAUCACAGUUACUUUCCUCGUGCUAGACCUAUGCUUAAUGAAACAUAUCAUUCUUAUGCUAGUCUUGAGCUUAAUGAAAAAUGUCAUCCUCAUGUGAGUAUUGACCUUGCUGAUUUCUGCCAUUCUAAACACGUGCUUUAUAGUUAUGCUUAUAUAAUUGGAUACUCAAUUGAUGACUUGGAGGGCAUUACCCUUGUCACUUGUAUUGUUUCCUUUGUUGAGUGCUCUUUCAGGUUCUUGCUUGUGCACGAAUCAUUACAUGCUGACCAAGUUCGAGAUGACAUUCCCUGGGACCCUGGUGGACCCAUGGCAUGGGGAUGA
rnacentral:rRNA from 1 species